CCUAAGGUAGCGAAAUUCCUUGUCGGGUAAGUUCCGACCUGCACGAAUGGCGUAAUGAUGGCCAGGCUGUCUCCACCCGAGACUCAGUGAAAUUGAACUCGCUGUGAAGAUGCAGUGUACCCGCGGCAAGACGGAAAGACCCCGUGAACCUUUACUAUAGCUUGACACUGAACAUUGAGCCUUGAUGUGUAGGAUAGGUGGGAGGCUUUGAAGUGUGGACGCCAGUCUGCAUGGAGCCGACCUUGAAAUACCACCCUUUAAUGUUUGAUGUUCUAACGUUGACCCGUAAUCCGGGUUGCGGACAGUGUCUGGUGGGUAGUUUGACUGGGGCGGUCUCCUCCUAAAGAGUAACGGAGGAGCACGAAGGUUGGCUAAUCCUGGUCGGACAUCAGGAGGUUAGUGCAAUGGCAUAAGCCAGCUUGACUGCGAGCGUGACGGCGCGAGCAGGUGCGAAAGCAGGUCAUAGUGAUCCGGUGGUUCUGAAUGGAAGGGCCAUCGCUCAACGGAUAAAAGGUACUCCGGGGAUAACAGGCUGAUACCGCCCAAGAGUUCAUAUCGACGGCGGUGUUUGGCACCUCGAUGUCGGCUCAUCACAUCCUGGGGCUGAAGUAGGUCCCAAGGGUAUGGCUGUUCGCCAUUUAAAGUGGUACGCGAGCUGGGUUUAGAACGUCGUGAGACAGUUCGGUCCCUAUCUGCCGUGGGCGCUGGAGAACUGAGGGGGGCUGCUCCUAGUACGAGAGGACCGGAGUGGACGCAUCACUGGUGUUCGGGUUGUCAUGCCAAUGGCACUGCCCGGUAGCUAAAUGCGGAAGAGAUAAGUGCUGAAAGCAUCUAAGCACGAAACUUGCCCCGAGAUGAGUUCUCCCUGACUCCUUGAGAGUCCUGAAGGAACGUUGAAGACGACGACGUUGAUAGGCCGGGUGUGUAAGCGCAGCGAUGCGUUGAGCUAACCGGUACUAAUGAACCGUGAGG
rnacentral:rRNA from 1 species